AGUCAAUAGAUACCCAGGUAGUCCAUGCCGUAAACGAUGAUUGCUAGGUGUGGGGGGUCUGACCCCUUCCGUGCCGGAGUUAAACACAAUAAGCAAUCCACCUGGGGAGUACGGCCGCAAGGUUGAAACUCAAAGGAAUUGACGGGGGCCCGCACAAGCAGUGGAGUAUGUGGUUUAAAUUCGAAGCAACGCGAAGAACCUUACCAGGUCUUGACAUCCACCGAAUCCUGUAGAGAUACGGGAGUGCCCUCCGGGGAACGGUGAGACAGGUGGUGCAUGGUUGUCGUCAGCUCGUGUCGUGAGAUGUUGGGUUAAGUCCCGCAACGAGCGCAACCCUUGUGAAUAGUUGCUACGAAAGAGCACUCUAUUCAGACUGCCGUUGACAAAACGGAGGAAGGUGGGGAUGACGUCAAAUCAUCAUGCCCCUUAUGACCUGGGCUACACACGUACUACAAUGGCCGUUAACAGAGGGAUGCAAAUGCCGCGAGGUGGAGCGAACCCCUAAAAACGGUCUCAGUUCAGAUUGCAGGCUGAAACUCGCCU
rnacentral:rRNA from 1 species